UUAAUUUUUGAUGUUUUAACA
rnacentral:piRNA from 1 species